rnacentral:rRNA from 1 species
GACGAGCGCUGGCGGCGUGCUUAACACAUGCAAGUCGAACGGAAAGGCCCUGCUUUUGUGGGGUGCUCGAGUGGCGAACGGGUGAGUAACACGUGAGUAACCUGCCCUUGACUUUGGGAUAACUUCAGGAAACUGGGGCUAAUACCGGAUAGGAGCUCCUGCUGCAUGGUGGGGGUUGGAAAGUUUCGGCGGUUGGGGAUGGACUCGCGGCUUAUCAGCUUGUUGGGGGGGUAGUGGCUUACCAAGGCUUUGACGGGUAGCCGGCCUGAGAGGGUGACCGGCCACAUUGGGACUGAGAUACGGCCCAGACUCCUACGGGAGGCAGCAGUGGGGAAUAUUGCACAAUGGGCGGAAGCCUGAUGCAGCAACGCCGCGUGCGGGAUGACGGCCUUCGGGUUGUAAACCGCUUUCGCCUGUGACGAAGCGUGAGUGACGGUAAUGGGUAAAGAAGCACCGGCUAACUACGUG